rnacentral:rRNA from 1 species
UACGUAGGGUGCGAGCGUUGUCCGGAAUUAUUGGGCGUAAAGAGCUCGUAGGCGGUGUGUCACGUCGGCCGUGAAAACCUGCAGCUUAACUGUGGGCGUGCGGUCGAUACGGGCAUCACUGGAGUUCGGCAGGGGAGACUGGAAUUCCUGGUGUAGCGGUGAAAUGCGUAGAUAUCGGGAGGAACACCAGUGGCGAAGGCGACUACCUGGCCUGUUCUUGACGCUGAGGCGCGAAAGCUAGGGGAGCAAACGGG